GGUUUAAUUCGAUGAUACGCGAGGAACCUUACCCGGGCUUGGAUUGCAGAGGAAGGAUUUGGAGACAAUGACGCCCUUCGGGGUCUCUGUGAAGGUGCUGCAUGGUUGUCGUCAGCUCGUGCCGUGAGGUGUCGGCUUAAGUGCCAUAACGAGCGCAACCCCUCUCCUUAGUUGCCAUCAGGUUAAGCUGGGCACUCUGGGGACACUGCCACCGUAAGGUGUGA
rnacentral:rRNA from 1 species